UGGGACCAUUAAAAAGUUGAAUACGAGUGUCCUGCUCGUUUGCAGGUUCCUGGAGGAUUUUCCAUUGGGUAUUGUGAUGGCCGUUCCGACAAACCUUCGGCGGAUGGAGAGUUUCGAAUGACUGCUAGCAAGUUUGAUGAAGGUAUCGGCGCAAAGGACAUCAAUUGCCCCAGUUAGGAUAACUGGAAUCCGAAUCGGAACAAUAUUCCGAAUUAAAGGAGGUAGACAAAGUUUGAGAAGUCGCCUUGUGGCAUCAGCAGGAAGUACGGCUGGACUCGAUACAGUUCAGCAAGAAGAUCGGAAUAGAGGAGAAUGAAAUUCAUGUGCUGUACCCGAAAGUGUGAUGGCUCAUUAACGUUUGCGGGCGGACUGCCAUUCUUCAAUACCCUCUGAUUCGUACGGAGAAUAUCACCAGUAUUAAGUGGUGUCCUUGAGAAAUAUUGAAUUCCGGAAGUGCAACCUGAUUCAAGCAAGCAAGCUAAUCAAAAAUUGGCUUAGUUAACCGAGGAGGAGCCACCGGAAUGCCAUAGGAAGAGCAAACACACCACCAAGUAACAGGUAAGGAAGGAUUGUUGGUAGUUUAUUUAAAAAGCAUGAGUGUUAUACAAGUACAUACAUACCUGCUGACCUUUCUGAGAUAUAAAUCCGGUUUUUUUCUUAGUUUAUUUUUUGUAGCAGUGUUUAACCCUUGUGGCACUGUUUAUUAAUUUUUUUUUUCAUCCAAU